rnacentral:misc_RNA from 1 species
GGGAUAAAAAAUGUAGGGAUCCUAGCGAGCCCACCUCCCACCCGUGUUUACUGUACCUUAGUUGCUUCGGCGGGCCCGCCAUUCAUGGCCGCCGGGGGCUCUCAGCCCCGGGCCCGCGCCCGCCGGAGACACCACGAACUCUGUCUGAUCUAGUGAAGUCUGAGUUGAUUGUAUCGCAAUCAGUUAAAACUUUCAACAAUGGAUCUCUUGGUUCCGGCAUCGAUGAAGAACGCAGCGAAAUGCGAUAACUAGUGUGAAUUGCAGAAUUCCGUGAAUCAUCGAGUCUUUGAACGCACAUUGCGCCCCCUGGUAUUCCGGGGGGCAUGCCUGUCCGAGCGUCAUUGCUGCCCAUCAAGCACGGCUUGUGUGUUGGGUCGUCGUCCCCUCUCCGGGGGGGACGGGCCCCAAAGGCAGCGGCGGCACCGCGUCCGAUCCUCGAGCGUAUGGGGCUUUGUCACCCGCUCUGUAGGCCCGGCCGGCGCUUGCCGAACGCAAAUCAAUCUUUUUCCAGGUUGACCUCGGAUCAGGUAGGGAUACCCGCUGAACUUAAGCAUAUCAAUAAGCGGAGGAAAAAAAAAAAAAAAAAAAAAAAAUAUUAUUUAUUUUUUUUAUUUAUCUUAGGUUUUUUAUAAAAUU